rnacentral:rRNA from 2 species
GACGAAGGAUGCAAGCGUUAUCCGGAUUCAUUGGGUUUAAAGGGUGCGUAGGCGGACCUGUAAGUCAGUGGUGAAAUCUCUCAGCUUAACUGAGAAACUGCCAUUGAUACUGCAAGUCUAGAGUAUAGAUGACGUUGGCGGAAUAUGACAUGUAGUGGUGAAAUACUUAGAUAUGUCAUAGAACACCGAUUGCGAAGGCAGCUAACGAAACUAUAACUGACGCUGAGGCACGAAAGUGCGGGGAUCAAACAGG